CUGCGCUGCAACGCGCGCCGUCGCCGUCGCACCGCCGCGCGCCUGUGUGCCGCGUCGCGUGCUGCCGCGCUGCCGUCCGCCUACACGCCGUCGUGUGCCUGCGCACUACUGCUGUGUGCUCCAUGCGCCUCUGUGCUAGCAGCUGAGUGAAACAAGCAAGCAAGUAAUAGCCGGCCGAAGCAAGGAAGCCAGGAAGAAGAAAGGAAGAAAGAGAAAAGAAAAGAAAAGAGAAGAAAAAGAAAAAAGAGAAAAGGAAAAAAGGGGAAGAAGAAAAAAAGAAGAAGGAAAAGUUGGAAAUUUCAGAAUUUCGUCGGAUUCGUCGUCAAUCUUUUCGAAGGAGAUUUCUCGGUGGUACUAUUUCCGGACGUUCUUGAUCGAAUUUUCUUCAUCGUCGGUAAAGGCAAGUGAAUGUAUUGUAUGACUAUGCUUUAACCUAAUAUUGGGUUGCCUACAUUCUUUAAUUACAGUGCAUUCAUCUAAUCUGAAUGACUGAUUCUGGGCUGAGUACUAUGUUGUUUACGUUUCCAGAAGUUUACUCGAUGAUUGAUUUAUGAAGUGCAGUAGGCACGAUAUGCCAUUCUGCAGUUGUUCA